AUGCUCACUUCAGUAGCAUAUAUACUAAUAUUGGAACAAUAUAGAGAUUAGCAUGGCCCCUGUGCAAGGAUGAGACACACAUUCAUGAUGAAUUCCAUAUUUUU